rfam:Oryza nivara chromosome 6, whole genome shotgun sequence.
AAUAGAUGACGCCGUUGACUUUUUCUCACAUGUUUGACCAUUCGUUUUAUUCAAAAAAUUUACGUAAUUAUAUUUUAUUUUGUCAUGAGUUGUUUUAUCACUUAUAGUAUUUUAAGUGUGAUUUAUAUCUUAUAUAUUUGCAUAAAAUUUUUAAAUAAGACGAAUGGUCAAACUUGUGAGAAAAAGUCAACGGCAUCAUGUAUU